rnacentral:rRNA from 1 species
CUGCUGCCUCCCGUAGGAGUCUGGGCCGUAUCUCAGUCCCAAUGUGGCCGAUCAACCUCUCAGUCCGGCUACCGAUCGUCGCCUUGGUGGGCCGUUGCCCCACCAACUAGCUAAUCGGCCGCGAGCCCAUCUUCCAGCGGAUUGCUCCUUUGGCUGCAUCGGGAUGCCCCAUCGCAGCGUUAUGCGGUAUUAGCAGUCGUUUCCAACUGUUAUCCCCCUNUGAAAGGCAGGUUGCUCACGUUG